AAAUGAAAAGAAGGGACUAAUAGGGAAUAAGACGUGUGAUCCAUGGCCCGAUGGCCCUGAUGGACGUGAAGAUCCACUGUUGUGGGAGGAGUGGAACACUAACACUGAAUGAUGGAGGCUGUGGUCAGAAACAGGGAUUAGCAACCCACUCUCCACCAAAUUUCAAGUCACUAGGGGCAUUAUGCUAUGUCCCAGGAGUGGCCAAGGCUUCAAGGACCAAUGAUAGACCUGCUGCUCUAACCUAGGCCUGCUGAGGAGUACAAUUCAACCUGUGUUUCUGUGUGGUUCAGCAAUCUUGCUGAGCUCCUCUAAGUCAGUCCAUCCUGCCACAGCUGGGAAGAAUCAAGAAACUCUCCAAGAAGACGUUUAUUGGUUGAUAAAAAUCUGUUUAUCUGCCUGUUGCCAAUGAGAAGACAGGUCUGCUGACCAUGGCAGGCAUGGCAGCACGUGACACCGUGUUUGCUGCUCACUGCAUGUUCCACCUGAACUUUCCCGUCCGGUCAAUGAGUCUUGACAGUGGGGUGAAGGGGACUCACUCUCAAAGACCAAGGCUGACCCGCUUUGAGUACAAUGCCUUGACCUAGUUACUGUCACUGUGGUUUUGUCUUCAGGAACUAAAAGGUACAAUAAAAACUUGUUCAUUU
rnacentral:lncRNA from 1 species